UACGUAGGGGGCUAGCGUUGUCCGGAAUUAUUGGGCGUAAAGCGCGUGUAGGCGGCCCGGUAAGUCCGCUGUGAAAGUCGAGGGCUCAACCCUCGAAUGCCGGUGGAUACUGUCGGGCUAGAGUACGGAAGAGGCGAGUGGAAUUCCUGGUGUAGCGGUGAAAUGCGCAGAUAUCAGGAGGAACACCCAUUGCGAAGGCAGCUCGCUGGGACGUUACUGACGCUGAGACGCGAAAGCGUGGGGAGCGAACAGG
rnacentral:rRNA from 1 species